GGGUUCGAUCCCUGGCCUUGCUCAGUGGGUUAGGGAUCCGGCGUUGUCAUGAGCUGUGGUGUAGGUUGCAGAUGCGGCUCGGAUCCCAUGUUGCUGUGGCUCUGGUGUAGGCUGGCGGCUAUUGCUCCAAUUUGACCCCUAGCCUGGGAACCUCCAUAUGCCACAGGAGUGGCCCAAGAAAUGGCAAAAAGCCAAAAAAAAAAAAGAUAUUUUGACAUGAAAGUACAUCUUCCUGGAGUUUUCGUUUUGGUGCAGCGGAAACGAAUCCAACUAGGAACCAUGAGGGUGUGGGUUCGAUCCCUGGCCUCGGUCAGUGGGUUAAGGAUCUGGCGUUGCCGUGAGCUGUGGUGUAGGUCGCAGAUGUGGCUCGGAUCCCGAGUUGCUGUGGUUCUGGUGUAGGCCAGCAGCUACAGCUCUGAUUAGACCCCUAGCCUGGGAACCUCCAUAUGCCACAGGAGUGGCCCUAGAAAAGGCAAAAAAAAAGACAGAAAAAAAAAAUUGGCCUUGUUCUUUCUAGGGAGCAUGUCAAAUAUUAUUUCCAUAUUUUCUGAUGGUGUAGAGCUGUUAAUGUUGAUGCAGUACUAUUCAGGUUCUUGGCUAGUUAUCAGAAGGCAUUAAAUGUGUAUGACUGAAAAAUUAUCUUGGCUUCAAAUUGGAAGAAACUGUAAUCUCACCUAUUUGUGACCCUGUCUUGUUUUCCUUUGUCAAUUCAAGAAUGGUUAGGAAAAGGAAAGAGAAGGAAUCCAGUUUGGUGGUAAAAGCAAAAUUAUAUGAAGAAUGGACUAUAAAAAGGAUUUUUUUAGGAGUGGCUUGAUCAUAAGGAUUCCUACUUUAUAUAUGACCUCAAAGAGGAUUAAGACCAUCUCCCUCUUGCUGUCACUUAUAUUCCAUAUCUUUGUUUUGCAACACUAUUUUUUAUCUUGACAAAAAUGACCCCCAUUUUACACACAAGCAGCAUUAAUAGCACUUCAAGACUGAUAAUUACAGUUGUCACCAGGUUCCUAUUUGCUUCAAGAAGUUUUUACAUGUUAGUGAAACUACAGUUUACAGUUAGUUUUGGUCAUUUAUUAUCUAUUUUUAGUGUGUGAUGGAACAUGAUUGUAGAAAGCACUCCAAUUUUCCCAUGAUUAUAAUGAUAAUUAUUACCUAUAGUUAUUUUUAAUUGCCUAUGAAAAAACUUUUAUCAUCUCUCAAAACUCCUAAGCUGGGGUAUAUAUCUGAAGAAAAUGAAAGCAUUAAUUCAAGAAGAUAUAUGCACCCCAGUGCUAACAGCUGCAUUAUUUACAAUAGCCACGGUGUGGAAGCAACCUAAGUGUCCAUCAGCAUACAAAUGGAUAAAGAAUAUGUGUACGUAUACACAUGUAUAUGUGUGUACACACACACACACCACACACAUUUGAAUGCUACUCAGCCAUAAAAAAGAAUGAAAUUUUGCCAUUUGCACCAAUAUGGAUAGACUUGGGGGUAUUAUGCUUAGUGAAAUAAGUCAAACAGACAAGUAUAAUAUCACUUAUAUAUGGGAUCUAAAAACAUAUUUGUGAAUAUAACAAAAAAGGAAACAGAUUUACAGAUACAGAGAACAAACUAGUUUACCAAUAGGGAGAGGGGCAAAGUAAGGAUAGAGGAUUAAGAGGUGCUAACUACUAUGCAUAAAAUAAACUAUAAGGAUAUAAUGUACAACCCAGGGAAUAUAUCCAGUAUUUUAUAACUGUAAAUGAAAUGUAACCUUUAAAAAUUAUGAAACACUGUUUUAUGCAUGAAACUUUAAAAUCAACUAUACCUCAAAAAACCUCUUGAGAAAUUUCAUUGAUAGAUUGAUCAACAUUUUGAGUAGCUCUUAAAGAAACCUGCCUAUGUGUGUUUGAGAGAGUGAAAGAUGAGAGAAAGGAGGAGAGGGUGAGAGAGUUGGAGGGAGAGAGGUAGACUUAGUUUAAAAAAAAAAAAAA
ensembl:lncRNA